rnacentral:tRNA from 1 species
GUUAUAAUAGUUUAAAUAAAACCUUGGUCUUGUAAAUCAAAAUUAGAUAAUAAAUCUUUAUAACU